GAUCCUGCUCAGAUUGAACGCUGGCGGCAUGCCUUACACAUGCAAGUCGAACGGUAACAGGUCUUCGGACGCUGACGAGUGGCGAACGGGUGAGUAAGUACAUCGGAACGUGCCCAGUCGUGGGGGAUAACUACGUCGAAAGAGUAGCUAAUACCGCAUACGAUCUGAGGAUGAAAGCGGGGGACCUUCGGGCCUCGCGCGAUUGGAGCGGCCGAUGGCAGAUUAGGUAGUUGGUGGGAUAAAAG
rnacentral:rRNA from 1 species